ACCACUUAAGUUCCAUCUCCUUCCAUCUCCUAGGUCUUACUCCUCUCUGCAUCACCUACAAGACUGAGCUGAGUACCAGGCACACAGCAGACUGGCCAACGCUUCACUGCAUAGGAUGGCAUUUCCACAGCAGAAAGAACUUCCUUUCCUCCAUGAUGAACAAACAUGCGAUCUUCUUUAAAAUAAGGUAUGUGUCUGUGCUCACCCAUAAACCAAAUCCCCAGAUCACGCUGCGCCUGGAUCAGAGGCUCUCCCAGGUAAUGAAGAGAGAGGCCCAACAAUGGCGUUUCCGCGGUGACCGCAGGUGGCUCUGGGUUCUGUGUGUGCUCUCUCCACACCGGCCAAUGCCUCUCUGAAUGAGCGAGUAAAGGUCGUCCAGACUUGAAGAGGUGGGUGAGGAGGAAGGCCAGCGGGCGACUGCAGGACUUUUUGAACAGUAGCCCGUGAGAAAGCAAGCACCGUGAGAAAGCAAGCACCGUCUUUCUCCAGUAGAAUAUGUUCCAGCGAUCGAGAUAGUGUGCAAAUUUAUUUCAGAGAUGAAUGUGUGACCCAGUUAUGGUAAAUGAGUUAUAAUGAGAAGUCUGCAGAGAAGCCCGGGAAA